GAACAAGGCGGCGGAGGGAGAGCUAGCUCAGCGCUGCCAGGGUACUAGGAAUGGGACUCAGGCAGGCAUUCUAAGAGCACUGAGCUAGCUCUCCCUCCACGCCCCGCUCAG
rnacentral:miRNA from 1 species